rfam:Rattus norvegicus chromosome 7, whole genome shotgun sequence.
GGGGAUUUAGCUCAGUGGUAGAGUGCUUGCCUAGCAAGCGCAAGGCCCUGGGUUCAAUCCCCAGCUCCG